GCCGGAGUGGCUUCAACCAUUGUAUUUGGACUUUAUAUGGGUUACUACCGCAGUAGGAUUAGGAAGCAGUUUAACGUAAAGGGCAGCGACAGUUUCAUAGACGACUGCAUGAGCCAUAUAAUGUGCCCCUGCUGCUCGUUAUGCCAGGAGUCGAGAACCUUAGAGAUGAACAAUGUGCAGGAUGGUGUGUGGCACGGACGAGGCGACACGAUAUGCAUCGGAAGCAUGGUGCUGCCAGCUCUUCUUAAACCUUCUUCGAUACCGACUAAAUCCCCAGGGCUGUGCAGCAUG
rnacentral:misc_RNA from 1 species